rnacentral:rRNA from 1 species
UACGUAGGGUGCAAGCGUUACUCGGAAUUACUGGGCGUAAAGCGUGCGCAGGCGGUUAUGCAAGACAGAUGUGAAAUCCCCGGGCUCAACCUGGGAACUGCAUUUGUGACUGCAUGGCUAGAGUACGGUAGAGGGGGAUGGAAUUCCGCGUGUAGCAGUGAAAUGCGUAGAUAUGCGGAGGAACACCGAUGGCGAAGGCAAUCCCCUGGACCUGUACUGACGCUCAUGCACGAAAGCGUGGGGAGCAAACAGG